UCUGCUAUGUAACAACCUUCUUGUAUUGUACGGCUUAACCUAAUCAACAUACUCACGUUAUGUUUAUAUGUGACUAGGUGUUUCAGCUGGAGUGGGCCUGCGUGUUCUUGGCCCAAGUCACAUCAGCAUUGCUUCUGGCCCAUCUGUCUUGCCGAAGCCCAAGCUAUGUUCACAAAUCUCCACCAGCUUGGUUAAGGCCCGAUCCUGGCCCACCUCGAUGAACCCUUGUGCCGACAGCCUCACGCCUUGGUCUCUUUUGUCUUCUUGCGAAAGAAAGACAUCAGUCUCUACUCUCUCUCUCUCUCUCGCCGUC
rnacentral:lncRNA from 1 species